AGCGAACGCUGGCGGCAGGCUUAACACAUGCAAGUCGAGCGGGCACUUUCGGGUGUCAGCGGCGGACGGGUGAGUAACGCGUGGGAACGUGCCCUCUGGUUCGGAAUAACUCAGGGAAACUUGAGCUAAUACCGGAUACGCCCUUUUGGGGAAAGGCUUGCUGCCGGAGGAUCGGCCCGCGUCUGAUUAGCUAGUUGGUGAGGUAACGGCUCACCAAGGCGACGAUCAGUAGCUGGUCUGAGAGGAUGAUCAGCCACACUGGGACUGAGACACGGCCCAGACUCCUACGGGAGGCAGCAGUGGGGAAUAUUGGACAAUGGGCGCAAGCCUGAUCCAGCCAUGACGCGUGAGUGAUCAAGGCCUUAGGGUUGUAAAGCUCUUUUAUCCGGGACGAUAAUGACGGUACCGGAGGAAUAAGCCCCGGCUAACUUCGUG
rnacentral:rRNA from 1 species